AGUGAACGCUGGCGGCGUGCUUAACAUAUGCAAGUCGAACGAGAACGGAUUAUAGCUUGCUAUAAUUGUCAGCUAAGUGGCGCACGGGUGAGUAAUGUAUAGGUAAUAUGCCUCUUACUAAGGGAUAACAAAUGGAAACGUUUGCUAAUACCUUAUACUCCUUAUUAACAUAAGUUAAUAAGGGAAAGAUUUAUUGGUAAGAGAUUAGCCUGUAUUGUAUCAGUUAGUUGGUGGGGUAAUGGCUUACCAAGACUAUGACACAUAACUGGUUUGAGAGGAUGAUCAGUCACACUGGAACUGAGACACGGUCCAGACUCCUACGGGAGGCAGCAGUGGGGAAUAUUGCACAAUGGACGGAAGUCUGAUGCAGCAACGCCGCGUGGAGGAUGACACAUUUCGGUGCGUAAACUCCUUUUAUAUGAGAAGAUAAUGACGGUAUUAUAUGAAUAAGCACCGGCUAACUCCGUGCCAGCAGCCGCAGUAA
rnacentral:rRNA from 1 species